AAAGAAGUACAUUAAAUUGCACGCAGGAUUCACUUAUCUAGAAUUCAUCAGUGAAGCCAAAACCAAGUUUGGACUUCCGGAUGCUGCUGACCUUGAUAUUUUCGAUGAAACUGACACAGCUGUCGAAGAAGACAUUUUUCUGGAGUUACUGGAGGCCCAACCAGACCUAUGCCUGACAAUACGUGAAAAGAUUUCAGAUGAAGAUUUUUGUCCUUUAGCUCAUUCCACACCAUC